rnacentral:rRNA from 1 species
AUUGAACGCUGGCGGCAGGCCUAACACAUGCAAGUCGAGCGAGCGGCGGAAGGGUGAGUAAUGUAUGGGGAACUGCCCGAUGGAGGGGGAUAACUACUGGAAACGGUAGCUAAUACCGCAUACUAUCAGAUGAGCCCAGAUGGGAUUAGCUAGUAGGUGGGGUACUGGCUCACCUAGGCGACGAUCCCUAGCUGGUCUGAGAGGAUGAUCAGCCACACUGGAACUGAGACACGGCCCAGACUCCUACGGGAGGCAGCAGUGGGGAAUAUUGCACAAUGGGCGCAAGCCUGAUGCAGCCAUGCCGCGUGUGUGAAGAAGGCCCUCGGGUUGUAAAGUACUUUCAGCCGGGAGGCGUUACCCGCAGAAGAAGCACCGGCUAACUCCGUGCCAGCAGCCGCGGUAAUUC